rnacentral:rRNA from 1 species
UACAGAGGUCUCAAGCGUUGUUCGGAUUCAUUGGGCGUAAAGGGUGCGUAGGUGGCGUGGUAAGUCGGGUGUGAAAUUUCGGAGCUUAACUCCGAAACUGCAUUCGAUACUGCCGUGCUUGAGGACUGGAGAGGUGACUGGAAUUUACGGUGUAGCAGUGAAAUGCGUAGAGAUCGUAAGGAAGACCAGUGGCGAAGGCGGGUCUCUGGACGGUUAUUGACGCUGAGACGCGAAAGCGUGGGGAGCAAACAGG